CAAAAGUUAGCGUGUCGUCCAUCCACAGCUCCGAAUUAGUUUCGCACGUAGCGAAUAAACAGAAUACAAUUAUCUUCUUUAUACAUAAGACGAUAAAUUAAUGUCAUCAAGCAAGUUAUAUCUAACUAGCAGCCCGUCCCGGCUUCGCUCGAGUAAAACCACGGGUUCCUGACAUCGGGAUAUGCAUCGUCGAGUCCGCGUUUCAGCGUGGUGAAGGCGUGUUCAUGCUGUGCCCGCGCCCAGUACAUUUUAGCUUUCUCUAUGAACAGCUGCGACGGCUUGUAUUCCUCUGCGUUCAGUAUGUA